UACAUAGUGAGGCCCUAUCUCAAAAUAUCUAAAUAAAUAAAACCUGUUACAUCUCUAAAAUUGCAUGAAUUUCAGCCUCUGUCAUUACAAUAGGUCCCAAGUACUAGGCAGCAGAUUCCAGCAAUAUUCCUGAGAAUAAUGGCUGGAAGCUGAGAAGCCAUCUUGGUCACGAAGUAGCCAAGUUCUGCUUGGUGAAGCACAAGCUACAGGGAGCCUGGGUGUCUGCUAAUCAUUGAGUUACCAAGCUUGCUCUGAAUUAUUUCCAUGAGAGAGCUACAAACUCUAUCAUGGGCCUUGGAAUAUAACUCAGUGAUAGAGCACUUGCUUAGCACAAAUGAAGCUAUGGGUUCAAUCUUCAGCACUAAAAAAGUUAAUUUAUUUCCAUAAUUUUUAACCAUUGUUGUCAUCUGUCACAUGCCAACAGGCCUAAUCCUAUGAAUAAAUAGACACACGACUGUUUCUCUCUGUUAAAGAGCAUCACAAUGCAAAACAAGCCACUAAUGACCAGACCAGCCUCCAUCACAACUAUUUGUGUGAAUCAAAGGAUUUACCUGGAAACUUUGUUCCUGUCGCUGGUUAUUUCUUCCUUCCUGCUCUCAGCCACUCAAAUCCUGAAAUGUCAGGAUACUCAACAGAGCACUGGUUCCUGUUCCUGGCUCCAAGGAAAGCUCUAUGCAGAUGACUGUCAAUUGUCUGUCCCUAGAAACAUGGUUUGCAAUAUUUAUGUAACCUUAGAGAAAGUGAGGCAUCUCAUAGACCAUGUACUACACAAGGAAUAUGUAUGUUUAUGUAACAUAAAACUUGGUGUACAGUUUACUGAGGUUCCAGACCCCAGAUACCCAUGUAUGAGUCCAGGGCUGCCAGGUUUAGAAGGCUUGUCUUUGAACCAACCAGAAGAAAUUUUAAAACCUCAAAAGUCAUCUAAUUUUGUCCCUGAGAUGAAUUCUCCACUAAUCUCCUGAACAGAAAAAGCAUUCAGUAGAUUUUAGAGGUUUCAACUGUUUGCCAGCUUUAUUGCUAUUUACAAUCAUCAGUGAGAGAAAUUUGUGUACUUCCUCCCCACUUCCUGCUCUCAAGUCCUGUUAUGGUUUUUCGUAGAUGUUUCUCCAAAGCCUCAUGCAAUCAUAGAUAUACCUUUGAGAAAGUGAUUGGAUCAUGGGGGUGUUGUUAUCUUUAUGAGUUUAUGGCUAAAUGAGGUAUUGGAGGAGAAUCAAGAUAGUGGAGUGGUGAGCAGCAGCAAAAUUCAGUCUCUCAGAGAUCCAGAAUCUGAACACUGAAAAAGAACUUAGGGAGGAAAAAAAGAGAAGUAGAUUGCUAGGAAUGGAGAAGAAACUGACAGGACAAUUGCAAGCUACAGAAAAGUUUGAGAAGCAGACUACAAUGCACUCUGUAUUGUCUUACAGGUUCCUAGCUCACAGCUUGUGGGAAGGGGAACGUUGAUCUGCAGAAGCAAGGUAGGUAGGUACUGGGGACCUGCGGGGAGAAAUGGUGGCAGUGGUUUGGGCCAGUGACACAAGCUCCAGGGGUGACCACAGUCAUGAUCUGCAGGGACAGUUCAGAAUUUUACUAUGAGGAGAUUUCCUCCACAUAGCAGGUAACAUCCCAAGAGGGAGCUCAGGCUUGGGUAGGUACCAUUCUGGGAAGGGAUUGUUUGAAUCUGGAACUCACAACAGCUGAGGGGCCGCUUCACUUCAAGGUUCCCAGUGUUACCUUCCCACAGUGAUUGGGUGAAAAACAGUCAUAGGAGACAGCCACAGAGAGGGAACAGGCUGGAAAUAUACCCCUUCAGGAGUAUGAACUCUGGCUGGGAAGGAAAUGAGUCCCAUGCCCCACAGUGGAAGGCCAGACCCAGCUUGAAUUACACUGUUCCUGAAAGCACUGGAAUUGAGUACUUGAGUCCUUGCUUCACUGCCUGCAUCCAACACAAAUUUGAGUCUGAUUGGCUUUUAUAUCCAUGGGUACAAGCAGGGACAUGUACUGGCGGACCUUCCUACAGCAUGGGGUGAACAGAUGGGCACCUUGCAAAUCCACAGGCCAUCAUGCUAGGCAGAGAAAACCCAUGAAUUCCUGUACUCCAUAACUGCAGAUGCAGGAUGAAAAUCACUCAUUCAAAAAUACAGAGAAAUAUUGUUUCUGUUUUUGGACUCCUUU
rnacentral:lncRNA from 1 species